rnacentral:rRNA from 1 species
AACGAACGCUGGCGGCAGGCCUAACACAUGCAAGUCGAGCGAGCAUUUCGGUGCUAGCGGCGGACGGGUGAGUAACGCGUGGGAACGUGCCCUUUUCUGCGGAAUAGUCCUGGGAAACUGGGGGUAAUACCGCAUACGCCCUUUUGGGGAAAGAUUUAUCGGAGAAGGAUCGGCCCGCGUUGGAUUAGGUAGUUGUUGGGGUAAUGGCCCACCAAGCCGACGAUCCAUAGCUGGUUUGAGAGGAUGAUCAGCCACACUGGGACUGAGACACGGCCCAGACUCCUACGGGAGGCAGCAGAGGGGAAUCUUAGACAAUGGGGGCAACCCUGAUCUAGCCAUGCCGCGUGAGUGAUGAAGGCCUUAGGGUUGUAAAGCUCUUUCAGCUGGGAAGAUAAUGACGGUACCAGCAGAAGAAGCCCCGGCUAACUCCGUG